UAUCUCUCCUCCGAAUAUACAGGGGACGGUUUCGAGAAGCUCGCUUAGACUUACUUGUCUUGAGUUGCAGAGCUGACAGUGACGCAUAACCAGUGCCUCUGCUUCUCCUCUCACCUCCCACCGCCGGAGUUUAGUCUCCUCCACCACCUCCGCCUCCUUCUCCACCUACGUCUUCUUCAAUCUCUCUCUCCCCUCUCGCUGUCAGAUCGUUUUCCACCUCCGCAUUUUACACAGUCGGCUGCACAAUUUUCUGUGUUAAAUUUUGGACAAGGCUUCUAUAAUUUUGCUAUGCGGGGUCGUCAUGUCGAUGCCUACUCGGCAUACAAGCGUGUGGCGUCCAAGGACCAUAUCAAUGCUUAUGAUAGAGAAGAAAGUGCAGUAGGUUUAGUGAAUGGAAAAGGUAUUGGAAACCCUUCAUGGAAGCGCUCCUUGCCGCAUAUGCUUGUGGCAGCUCUUUCUUCGUUCCUAUAUGGCUACCAUCUCGGAGUGGUUAACGAGACACUAGAUAGCAUUUCUUUGGACCUUGGCUUCAGUGGGAAUCCUUUGGCAAAGGGUCUAGUAGUGAGUACAUGUUUAGGUGGUGCUUUUGUUGGAUCUCUAUUUAGUGGUUGGAUUCUAGAUGGAGUGGGGCAUCGAAGGGCAUUCCAGAUGUGUGCAUUGCCGAUGAUAAUCGGUGCAUCAAUGAGUGCAACAACCAAAAGUCUAUGGGGCAUGCUUCUAGGGAGGAUAUUCGUUGGAACUGGGAUGGGAAUUGGCCCACCUGUUGCUGCUAUCUAUGUGUCAGAGAUUUCACCAGCUUUUGUAAGGGGUGCUUUUGGGAGCUUCACACAAAUUUCUACGUGUCUUGGACUUAUGGGGUCUCUCUUUAUUGGACUCCCUGCCAAGGAUAUAGUGGGUUGGUGGCGAGUUUGUUUUUGGGUAUCUACUGUUCCUGCUGCAGUGCUAGCUGUUUGCAUGGAGUUCUGUGCAGAGAGUCCUCAGUGGCUUUUCAAGAGAGGAAGAGGUACUGAAGCUGAAGCUGAAUUUGAGAAACUUUUAGGAGCAGCACAUGUUAAAUUUGCAAUGGCAGAACUGUCAAAGUCUGACAGGGGGGAUGAACUAGAGACAAUAAAGUUUUCAGAGCUACUGUAUGGCCGACAUUUCAAAAUGGUUUUCAUUGGGUCUACCAUUUUUGCUUUACAACAGCUGUCAGGCAUAAAUGCUGUGUUCUAUUUCUCUUCAACUGUCUUUAAAAGCUUUGGGGUGCCUUCAGAUCUGGCAAACACAUGUGUUGGAAUUGCAAAUCUGUCGGGGUCAAUUCUUGCAAUGAUCCUGAUGGAUAAGCUUGGAAGAAAGGUACUUCUUCUUGGAAGCUUUUCUGGCAUGGCAGUGGCAAUGGGUCUUCAAGUAACUGGAGCAAGUUCUUAUACGUCGGGAUCUGGAGCAUUGAGUCUAUCUGUUGGCGGCAUGCUGCUGUUUGUGUUGAUGUUUGCUCUUGGAGCUGGUCCAGUGCCUGGUCUUCUCCUUUCAGAAAUUCUUCCUGGCCGUAUUAGGGCAAAAGCAAUGGCAGUUUGCAUGGCCGUGCAUUGGGUGAUAAAUUUCUUUGUUGGCCUGUUGUUUUUACCCUUGCUGGAGCAAAUUGGGCCACAAAUUCUGUAUACAGUCUUUGCUACCUUUUGUUUACUGGCUGUUGUUUUUGUGAAGAGAAAUGUAAUAGAAACAAAAGGAAAGUCCCUCCAAGAAAUUGAAAUUGCACUUAUUCCGCCUCAAUGAAGUUGUUUGCUUGUCUCUGUAGGUUCUUCAAGAAAACUAGAUUACUCUUACACAAAGCUGAAGUCCCCUUACUAAUGAUGGAACUAAUGACUCACUUUUGCCCGUAGUGUAUUUGCCAUGUUCAGCUGAGGAAAUAGUGAAGAAUAAGGUAGUAUGGAAACGUCUGCCCGGAUUCCGGUUGAAGUCAUCAGCAUCGUGUUGGCUGGGAAGUUUGGGAACUAAUUACCAGGUGCUCACUCUGAAAGGCCUUUGUAAAUUAUGAGAGCUGUUUUUUUCCUUCAUUUGUGAGCUUUUAAACCUGCAAUACAGUGUAAUACAUGAAGGACCUGACUUCCCGAACAAUAUAAUACAAGUGUUCCAUCAAAAUUAUGACAUGAUAAAAAA